AACGAACGCUGGCGGCACGUUUUAAGCAUGCAAGUCGAACGGUAGUCCCGCUUUCGGGUGGGAUGAGAGUGGCGGACGGGUGAGUAACACGUAGGUUAUCUGUCUUAUGGUUGGGGGAUAGCCCAUGGAAACAUGGGGUAAUACCGCAUGAGGUCCUGUAUUUUAAGGAUGCGGGAUGAAAGGCGCGUUAUGUGCCGACUGAGGAUGAGCCUGCGGUCCAUUAGCUUGUUGGUAGGGUAAAGGCCUACCAAGGCGACGAUGGAUAGCCGACCUGAGAGGGUGGACGGCCACACUGGGACUGAGACACGGCCCAGACUCCUACGGGAGGCAGCAGCUAAGAAUCUUCCGCAAUGGGCGAAAGCCUGACGGAGCGAUGCCGCGUGAACGAUGAAGGCAGGAAUGUUGUAAAGUUCUUUUCUUGGUGAGGAAUAAGGUUAAGAGUGGACUGCUUGACUGAUGACGUUAACCAAGGAAUAAGCCCCGGCCAAUUACGUGCCAGCAGCCGCGGUAACACGUAAGGGGCGAGCGUUGUUCGGAAUUAUUGGGCGUAAAGGGCGUGUAGGCGGAUAUAUAAGCCUGGUGUAAAAGGCUUCGGCUCAACCGGAGUUAGGCGCUGGGAACUGUAUGUCUAGAGUACAGGAGGGGGAGUUGGAAUUCCUGGUGUAGGGGUGAAAUCUGUAGAUAUCAGGAAGAACACCGGUGGCGAAGGCGAACUUCUGGCCUGUUACUGACGCUGAGGCGCGAAAGCGUGGGGAGCGAACAGGAUUAGAUACCCUGGUAGUCCACGCUGUAAACGAUGUGCACUGGGUGUUGGUUCUAUGAAGGAUCAGUGCCGUAGCUAACGCGAUAAGUGCACCGCCUGGGGAGUAUGCUCGCAAGGGUG
rnacentral:rRNA from 1 species